GACGAACGCUGGCGGCGUGCUUAACACAUGCAAGUCGAACGGAAAGGCCCUUCGGGGUACUCGAGAGGCUAACGGGUGAGUAACACGUUGGUGAUCUGCCCUGCAAUUUGGGAUAAGCCCGGGAAACUGCGUCCAAUACCGAAUAGGACCACGUGCUUCAAGGUGUGCGGUGGAAAGCUUGCUAGGUGUGGGAUGGGCCCGCGGCCUAUCAGCUUGUUGGUGGGGUGAUGGUCUACCAAGGCGACGACGGGUAGCAGGCCUGGGAGGGUGACCGGACACACUGGGACGGAGAUACGGCACAGACUCCUACGGGAGGCAGCAGUGGGGAAUAUUGCACAAUGGGAGCAAGCCUGAUGCAGCGACGCCGCGUGAGGGAUGACGGCCUUCGGGUUGUAAACCUCUUUCAAUAGGGACGAAGCGAAAGUGACGGUACCUAUAGAAGAAGCACCGGCCAACUACGUGCCAGCCGCCGCGGUAA
rnacentral:rRNA from 1 species